CUCUUUCAUCCCCUAUUUCUCUCAAUUUUUCAUCCAAGAUUCCAAGGAUUCUUGAAGAGCUUUUGACUAGAAUUUGUUACAAAUUGAUCCUAAGUACUAAAAGGUUAAGAGAAAGUGUUAAGCCAUCAAGAGUGGAGAGUUUAAGUGGGUUCUACUUGUGUCCAAGGAAAUAGGUGAGGACUUGGUCGGAUGGACGUCGGCAAGCGGGGAGAUUUGGC